rnacentral:rRNA from 1 species
CCCUUAGAUGUUCUGGGCUGCACGCGUGCUACACUGAUAUUGCCAAUAUGUCAUUCUUAUCCGAAAUGGAUUGGGUAAUCAAGUAAUGAAAUUUCAUGCUUGGAAUCGGUAAUUGCAAUUUUAUCGUGAACGAGGAAUUCCUAGUAAGCACUAGUCAUCAGCUAAUGUUGAUUAUGUCCCUGCCCUUUGUACACACCGCCCGUCGCUACUACUGAUUGGGUGUUCAAGUGAGAUGCUUAGACCCUUGUUGCAUGGUUCAUUAUUGUGCUCCGAAAGGAAAAAGUUUCAAGCUUGAGUGUCGAGAGGAAGUAAAAGUCGUAACA